rnacentral:rRNA from 1 species
UAUCCUGUCUGAAUAUGGGGGGACCAUCCUCCAAGGCUAAAUACUCCUGACUGACCGAUAGUGAACCAGUACCGUGAGGGAAAGGCGAAAAGAACCCCGGCGAGGGGAGUGAAAAAGAACCUGAAACCGUGUACGUACAAGCAGUGGGAGCACAGAGCAAUCUGUGUGACUGCGUACCUUUUGUAUAAUGGGUCAGCGACUUAUAUUCUGUAGCAAGGUUAACCGAAUAGGGGAGCCGAAGGGAAACCGAGUCUUAACUGGGCGUUAAGUUGCAGGGUAUAGACCCGAAACCCGGUGAUCUAGCCAUGGGCAGGUUGAAGGUUGGGUAACACUAACUGGAGGACCGAACCGACUAAUGUUGAAAAAUUAGCGGAUGACUUGUGGCUGGGGGUGAAAGGCCAAUCAAACCGGGAGAUAGCUGGUUCUCCCCGAAAGCUAUUUAGGUAGCGCCUCGUGAAUUCAUCUCCGGGGGUAGAGCACUGUUUCGGCAAGGGGGUCAUCCCGACUUACCAACCCGAUGCAAACUGCGAAUACCGGAGAAUGUUAUCACGGGAGACACACGGCGGGUGCUAACGUCCGUCGUGAAGAGGGAAACAACCCAGACCGCCAGCUAAGGUCCCAAAGUCAUGGUUAAGUGGGAAACGAUGUGGGAAGGCCCAGACAGCCAGGAUGUUGGCUUAGAAGCAGCCAUCAUUUAAAGAAAGCGUAAUAGCUCACUGGUCGAGUCGGCCUGCGCGGAAGAUGUAACGGGGCUAAACCAUGCACCGAAGCUGCGGCAGCGACGCUGAUGCGUUGUUGGGUAGGGGAGCGUUCUGUAAGCCUGUGAAGGUGUGCUGUGAGGCAUGCUGGAGGUAUCAGAAGUGCGAAUGCUGACAUAAGUAACGAUAAAGCGGGUGAAAAGCCCGCUCGCCGGAAGACCAAGGGUUCCUGUCCAACGUUAAUCGGGGCAGGGUGAGUCGACCCCUAAGGCGAGGCCGAAAGGCGUAGUCGAUGGGAAACAGGUUA